UGGGGAAUAUUGCACAAUGGAGGGAACUCUGAUGCAGCGACGCCGCGUGAGUGAUGAAGGAAUUCGUUUCGUAAAACUCUGUUCUAUGGGAAGAAAAGGACUGUACCAUAGGAGAAAGCUCCGGCUAAAUACGUGCCAGCAGCCGCGGUAAUACGUAUGGAUCGAGCGUUGUCCGGAAUUAUUGGGCGUAAAGGGUGCGCAGGCGGCUUUACAAGUUGGAUGUGAAAUAUUGUGGCUCAACCACAAACGUGCAUCCAAAACUGCAAAGCUUGAGUUAAGGAGAGGUAAGUGGAAUUCCGGGUGUAGCGGUGGAAUGCGUAGAUAUCAGGAGGAAUACCGGUGGCGAAGGCGACUUACUGGACUUAAACUGACGCUCAGGCACGAAAGCGUGGGGAGCAAACAGG
rnacentral:rRNA from 1 species